rnacentral:tRNA from 1 species
AGAGCGCGUCACUGAUAAUGACGAGGUCCGUGGUUCGAGUCCACGCUCGCGCA